rnacentral:rRNA from 1 species
AACGAACGCUGGCGGCAUGCCUAACACAUGCAAGUCGAACGAGAUCUUCGGGUCUAGUGGCGCACGGGUGCGUAACGCGUGGGAAUCUGCCCUUUGGUUCGGAAUAACAGUUGGAAACGACUGCUAAUACCGGAUGAUGACGAAAGUCCAAAGAUUUAUCGCCAGAGGAUGAGCCCGCGUAGGAUUAGCUAGUUGGUGUGGUAAAGGCGCACCAAGGCGACGAUCCUUAGCUGGUCUGAGAGGAUGAUCAGCCACACUGGGACUGAGACACGGGCCAGACUCCUACGGGAGGCAGCAGUGGGGAAUAUUGGACCAUGGGCGUAAGCCUGAUCCAGCAAUGCCGCGUGAGUGAUGAAGGCCUUAGGGUUGUAAAGCUCUUUUACCCGGGAUGAUAAUGACAGUACCGGGAGAAUAAGCUCCGGCUAACUCCGUGCCAGCAGCCGCGGUAA